ensembl:lincRNA Gm28139 predicted gene 28139
AAUGAAGCAUCUGGAAGCAACUGGAGCUGCUGCUUUGGAGCCCUCAGAUCAGGGGAGGAGGAAAUCUGAAACAACUUUCCUUGCUGCUUCAGGGAAGAGAGGCAAGUAGCCAGCCACUGGGGCGCUUGGCAAAGCAGUGAACAGCAGCCUGGAUUCACCUGACGCCUGGCGUGAGGAAAGAGCUGGCAGGCAUCCUGCCUCAGCCAUCUGUGCCUCCGCUCCUCACCAAAGUGGGAAAGCAUUUCAAAUAAACGAUUUUGAACGCACGUUCGAACCAUUCAAGUUCUCACGACCUCACAAGAGAAGGGCCUCAGGGACUCGCACUGUCGGCUGCUGGAGGGAGAGCUGAUGAACAAUAUUCUCUGAGCUUGUUCAGAAAGAAAGGGAAGAACCCGGACAGAACACAAAUAGUUUCAGAGAGAUGGGAAUCGCCUUGCAGGUGGUGGAACCACAUGGCUCGUUUAUGGGCUGAAUAAGCCUCCUAGCUCAAGUUGGCACUUGAGUAUGGGACGCCAACUGCCGUUGACCGGAUGUUUAAAUUGUAACAUCUUAUUUGUAAGCCAAGUAUUAAUUUAUUUUGCUUUUUUUUUUCCGUACCUUUGCCUUAAACGAGAUUGCUUAAGGGACCCAGGAGUACUCCACA